UACAUGGGGUGCAAACGUUGCUCGGAAUUAUUGGGCGUAAAGCGCACGUAGGCGGUCCGUUAAGUCAGAUGUGAAAGCCCCCGGCUCAACCGGGGAAGUGCAUCUGAAACUGGCGGGCUAGAGUACGAAAGAGGGUCGCGGAAUUCCCGGUGUAGAGGUGAAAUUCGUAGAUAUCGGGAGGAACACCGGUGGCGAAGGCGGGACUCUGGGCCGAUACUGACGCUGAGGAGCGAAAGCGUGGGGAGCAAACAGG
rnacentral:rRNA from 1 species